GACGAACGCUGGCGGCGUGCUUAACACAUGCAAGUCGAACGGAAAGGCCCCUUUGGGGGUACUCGAGUGGCGAACAGGUGAGUAACACGUGAGUAACCUGCCCUUGACUUCGGGAUAACUUCAGGAAACUGGGGCUAAUACCGGAUAGGAAUCCUUGCUGCAUGGUGGGGGUUGGAAAGCUUCGGCGGUUUUGGAUGGACUCGCGGCUUAUCAGCUUGUUGGUGGGGUAGUGGCUUACCAAGGCUUUGACGGGUAGCCGGCCUGAGAGGGCGACCGGCCACAUUGGGACUGAGAUACGGCCCAGACGCCUACGGGAGGAAGCAGGGGGGAAUAUUGCACAAUGGGCGGAAGCCUGAUGCAGCAACGCCGCGUGCGGGAUGACGGCCUUCGGGUUGGAAACCGCUUUCAGCAGGGGCGAAGCUUGUGGUGACGGUACCUGCAGAAGAAGCACCGGCUAACUACGUG
rnacentral:rRNA from 1 species